rnacentral:ncRNA from 1 species
GUGAGCUGUGUGAUGGGAAACCUUCCCGCACGGUUCGGAGAGCACUGAAGACGAAUGAGAGGUUCACCACCACAUCAUUGCAAGGGGAGCUCGCUCGAUUUGCAGAUUGGCCUGACUCUUAAUUCACUUUUGACUCUGU